rnacentral:rRNA from 1 species
CAAUAGCGUAUAUUAAUGUUGUUGCAGUUAAAAAGCUCGUAGUUGGAUAUCUGGCCUUUGCGUUGAAGACCCGCCCUCUUUUGGGAUGAGCGUUGGAGACGUGGGUCUAUUUUCCGGUUGGUGUCCAUUCCACUUUAUUGGGGCGUGGUUCACGAUCCGGAUCGUUUACUUUGAAAAAAUUCGAGUGUUCAUAGCAGGCUUACGCCGUGAAGAUCGCAGCAUGGAAUAAUAACAUAGGACUUGGCGUUCUAUUUUGUUGGUUCUGGAACCUAAGUAAUGAUUGAUAGGGACAGUUGGGGGUGCUGCUAUAGACUGGCCAGAGGUGAAAUUCUAAGACUCAGUCUAGAGCAACUUAUGCGAAAGCAUUCACCAAGGAUGUCUUCUUUAA